rnacentral:rRNA from 1 species
UACGGAGGGAGCUAGCGUUGUUCGGAAUUACUGGGCGUAAAGCGCAACGUAGGCGGCUUUGUAAGUUAGAGGUGAAAGCCCGGGGCUCAACCCCGGAAAUUGGCCUUUAAGCACUAGUCAUUCGCUUGAAUCCGGGGAGAGGUGAGUUGGAAAUUCCCGGAGUGUAGAGGGUGAAAUUCGUUAGAUAUUCGGAAGAACACCAAGUGGCGAAGGCGGCGUCACUGGACCGGUAUGACGCUGAGGUGCGAAAGCGUGGGGAGCAAACAGG